GGACUGCCACCAAUUAGGAGGCAAGUGGGCGUGUUCGGGGCAGACUAAAUAUACAAGAGCCAUUGCGCUAUAGUCUACACUCUUCCUUCCUGUCGCUUCUCUUUUGUUUCAGUCGUUGUCGAGUUAAAAAGGGAGAGUCACCAUGCACAAGUCCGAGGCACCCAACGAGCCAGAGCAACUCCGCAAGCUGUUCAUUGGAGGCUUGAGUUUUGAAACCACAGAUGAAAGUCUCCGCGAGCACUUUGAGCAAUGGGGCACCCUUACAGACUGUGUGGUUAUGAGGGAUCCAAACUCAAAACGUUCCCGUGGCUUUGGAUUUGUUACAUACUUAUCUACAGAUGAAGUAGAUGCUGCCAUGACUGCUCGCCCACAUAAAGUGGAUGGGCGAGUGGUUGAACCUAAAAGGGCUGUCUCUAGAGAGGAUUCCUCUAGGCCUGGUGCACACCUCACCGUAAAGAAAAUCUUUGUAGGUGGUAUCAAGGAGGACACAGAAGAAGAUCAUUUACGAGAAUAUUUCGAGCAAUAUGGCAAAAUUGAAGUUAUAGAGAUAAUGACUGACCGAGGCAGUGGCAAGAAAAGAGGCUUUGCAUUUGUCACAUUUGAAGAUCAUGAUUCCGUUGACAAGAUUGUCAUCCAGAAAUAUCACACCGUCAACAACCACAAUUGUGAAGUGCGGAAGGCACUCUCCAAACAGGAAAUGGCAAGUGUUUCUGGCAGUCAGAGAGGACGUGGUGGCUCUGGAAACUAUGGAAGCCGUGGUGGGUUUGGUAAUGAUAACUUUGGUGGUCGUGGUGGCAACUUUGGUGGCAACAGAGGAGGAGGGGGUGGAUUUGGUAAUCGAGGUUAUGGUGGAGACGGCUACAAUGGUGAUGGCAAUUAUGGUGGCAGCCCUCCCUACUCGGGUGGUAACCGAGGCUAUGGUGCUGGCCAAGGAGGUGGAUAUGGUGCUGGCCAAGGAGGUGGAUAUGGUGGUGGUGGCCAAGGAGGUGGAUAUGGUGGAAAUGGAGGAUACGAUGGUUAUAAUGGCGGAGGCAGUGGCUUCAGUGGCUCUGGUGGUAACUUUGGUAGCAGUGGGGGAUAUAACGACUUUGGCAACUACAACAGUCAGUCAUCAUCCAACUUUGGCCCAAUGAAAGGUGGAAAUUAUGGUGGUGGCAGAAAUUCUGGACCAUAUGGAGGUGGCUAUGGCGGAGGGUCUGCUAGCAGCAGUAGCGGAUAUGGCGGUGGGAGGAGGUUUUAAUUUUUCCACAGGAAGCAAUGCUUAGCAGCAGAGGACAGCCAGGCAAGCGACAGGUUACUACAAAAGUUGAAUUCAGCCAAGCACAGGUGUGGCAGGCAUAGCUGCUACAUGAAGAAAUGUUAGCGAAUCAGUAACCAAUGAGGAAAACGCAGGACUAUUUGUCACACAUUAAUUGUAUGAAGAAAUAAGUUUGUUUUGUGACCAUGUUUUGGCUUUUUUUUAAUGCAUAGGUUCCUUUAUAUGAAAGCUGCCUUUUAUUUUAUUUUUUUUUUUUCUCCUUGUGGUCAUGCUGUUGAACUGUACAAAUCUUGAUCAUGACUAAAUAAAUUGUCCCCUUUUUUUAAAAAUGUGUAGGGUAAUUUUGAGGAGAUUUGAUGUAGGAGACGUGCGUUUGUUUGGUUUUAGCAUUGCUUCGACAAAUUUAGGCUACUGUCCAGGGUGAAUCUUAAACCUAGACGACAGGUGCAGCCAGUACAGUUUUUUUGCCACGUUACAACUUCCAAAUUUGAGCUUCUUAAAGGACAAGUUUGCCCUUAAACUCAGUAUGACCUAUUUGAAACUGCAGUUUAAGAUCUGCUUGUUGGGGUCAUAGGUCGCUCGUUUUCCAUUAGAAAGUCUAACCUUUUCUAGUUGUUAGGUCAAUUAAACCCUAGCAACCAGAACUGUUGGGGUAAAUGGUCGCCGAGUGUACAGCCUGCUUUCCUCCACCUGUUUUGUAGGCAGACUACGAGAAGCUGAUAAACUCCUAAUAAACUUGUUAGUUUGUGUAAUGCCACUGCAGCUACACAUCAGAAAGCAUGCAGUUUUCAUUCUAAGUUGGGCUGUGUGUAUCUGCACUGUGGCUGCUGUGCCUGUCUGUGGGGCUGAAGUGGGCUAUACACCAAUGUACUGUCUACUGCUCCAGCUUUUCUGUUGUACAAUAGUUUUUUGUUUAGGGUCCAGCAUCUAAACUACUACUAUCUACAGUACAAACAUAAGUAAAAUGUGAUGCCAAUACCAGGCUCUUGUUCCUCACACCUGCAAAACACAAGUUGAGGGCCGCUGUAAAAGUAAAAUAUGUUAACAGUAGAAAUAAAUCUACUGCUCCGUGGUUUUACUUUAUACCAGUACUUGUGCGACACCUUGUGUAAUGUUUUUAAGGGAGUUGGACAGAGCCACAUGCACCUACCCAAAAUAGAUUUUUGCUUAUUUUAAUAACGGUUUGGCACAGCAUCUAGCUCUUCUGUCUGCAGCAACUUUUUUUUUAUAUAUAUAUAUAAUUUAUCUGGAGGGGAGUGCUAAGAGGACUACGGUGAUGCCUGGAGCCUCUGCAGCAGUGCAUCUUGGCAAGGACGUUGCUUUUUUUCUGCUGUCAAAUCUUCUACAUAGUGGCAGAAUACUGGUUAACAUAUAUAAAUUGCUAAAAGCAGAACUUAAAUGGCUGCCAUAAAGGAGAAGGAUAGUUACAGAGGCAGUUUGUCAAUAGAUUAGCCACAAUCGUGCAAGAUAGAAUGCUAUCUUUACUCUGGUAUGGUGAAGCAUUCUGCAGAAUAAACGGCUCUAGAAGCUCUGUUUAGGAUAGCAGCUGCCAUAUUAGCUUGGUGAGACCUCACUUCCUGCCUGAGUCUCCCUGCUCUCUCAUAGCUCUGGGCACAGCAGGGAGUGUGGGAGAGGAGUAAAUUGAGCAUGCCCUAGCCCUGGAGGUUUAAACUGAAAAAAGUCUGAUACAGAAGCCCAUGUGUACACAAUAGAAGGAAAGAAAUUAGGUGUUCCUUUUGACAGAGCACUCUGAGAAGCAUUACUUUGAGGGUUUACUGGUGUAUAUAUAUAUAAAUGUUAGUUUUUAACCUUUCCUUCUCCUUUAAUGUAAUAUUUGUGGCUAGACGCAGCAUAGUGGCGGGAACACCAUCCUUUCAAAUUUAUUGCCUUUAGUCAAGUAGAGCCAAGGCCAACUUUGGGAUUCCCAUCCGGGGGAAAAAAGCCAAAUCUCUUUGCUGCCUCCCAUCUGUAUAAUGAAAGCCAUCUGUAAAACACAGGCUGGGGGUGGUUUUGACUAAAAUGUAGCUGUUUUUAGUGGUGAGGGGCAAUAUCCACUACACACAGUGAGAACCCAUUUUGGGUAAUUCUGCCAUAUGGAAUGGACAUUGGCCUGAAUUGGGAGGUUAGCCUAAAUGUUUAUAAUAAAAAGGUAUUUACAAUAAAAAGGCAUUAUUACUAGUAAUGAGAUGGGACCAUUUUGUGUUUUUUUUUUUUUAAUUUUUUUUUUUUUUUGGGGGGGAGAAAUGAAAUUCCCUCUGUAGCUCCUUGCGUAUCAGCAGUUAUACAGUAAAAUUUUAAAGGAAAUGCUUAUUACAGUAUUGGGCUCCUGAAAUGCCCCAUCUACAUGCCAGAACACUGAAAUUUCUUACUGGUUUUCCAAAAAGAAAUUCAAGUAAUGUUGCUUGAGUUUCAAGCAUAUAAACAUAAAAUGCCACAAAUUAAGAUAUAAUAGAGUACAAUAAAGCAAUAUAAAAUAGGGCGGCUGGGUUACACAUAAAAGGUGGAUACACAUAGGAGCACGUCCCUGAUUCUUAAUGGCAGAGCAGUAAAGUGGGGUUGGCACCGGCCAUGUACAUCUGAUCCUGGUGGCAAUCAUUGAGCAGGAGCAUGCUCUGUCCACUUGCUGCUGCUUAGACUUGCUAUACCCAAACAUACAAGGCAAGCUAGCCUGGUCCUUCUGAGGAUGAAGACAGUCAGGAACUGAAUACGGAGUAGGUAAAAAGGAGAGAGACUGCUAGCAAGAUGUUCCAGUCAGCUCAGACCAGCCUUCCUUCAGCUGAGAAAGAUUAGCCAAGCAACCAUUAAAGCAGAUCAGUGCUCACUUAACGGCUAGCCAAGCUACAGGGAUUCCUCAGCUCAUCGGAAGGAGGCAGUCGAGAGUGCAGAAGCUUCAUAUUAAGCCUAGCAGGCAUUUCCAGCCAGAAGGGAAAGUUAUGUUACCCCUUUCGGUAGGGGAAUAUCCAUCUACAUGAUUAAACGAAACGUGGACCUUGGUUUGUGAAGAAGUGUCCAGAUACAGGUUUUAAGGUUAACUGAUGUGACGGAUCUGACCAACUUCAAAUUUCACAGCUACUGUGUAGCUCUGUUUUGUUUUUUUGUUCUUUUCCAAAAUAAAGUUUUUAUGAUUCUCUA